UCAAAUGGGGUGGCUUCAAUCUAUCUUUUCCCCCGUCAAGAUCUUGUGGAGACGAAUCCAAUCUGUGCACACCCGUCGUCGUAAACGUAUGCAGUUUGAUCGUGGUUUGUAUGCAUGAGUAAAGGAUUGUACGUGUUAUAUGAAGACGUGAAGUGUUGCUCAUGUGAAGAUGUGCAAAUGUUGUGGUCAAUGGUGGUCGGACCGGAAGCUGGAUUUUCGAUUUGAAGUAUAAACGGAUGUUAAAUACGAUAAGCGAGUUAAAGUUGUUUGUAAAUGAUACGUGUUUGUUUUUCAUGCUUAUUGUCUAUGUAUGUGAGAAAUAUUCAUCAGUGUCUAUUAUAUGAUAGGUUUAAUAUACACAAAUCAAUGAAUCAUUG